rnacentral:lncRNA from 1 species
CAGCGCCCCCCCGGCGCGGCGAGCCCCGACGGGCGCCCGCUGGGCUGAGCCCGGCCCCGGCUGGCGAGAUCCCAUCUUAGGUAGGUCUCGGAAAAGAAAAAAAUCCCCAUCAGAGCCAAGCUCCGAAGGGCUCUGGGAACUAAAACCCUAAGCAGACCCUUUUUUAAAAUUAUUAUUUUUUUUUAUUAUUAUUUUUUUUGUUCCCAUGCGUCCUCCAAAGGUUUCUUUUUUAUAUAUAUAUAAAAGAUCCAACACAGAUUUCAUUGAAUAAAUCUGAGAUCUCCAGGUGCAGACGUUUGAAUAGUCGGUGCCAGAACCCCAUGUUUUCCUUUCCAGCCGAUUUUGCUUGGAUCAGGCUCAAAAACCGAGCGAGUCUCGUGGUUUUGUUUACACUGAAUGGGGAGGAUAGGAACGGUGCCAUGGGGCCGUCUUUCAUUAAUAUACAGUGAGGAUUUUGUCUAAAUUACUGCUAUGAAUUUCACAGUACACGCUUUCAAAAGCCGUCUCAGGUGGCCUGAUGAAACGUGAUAGCGCCUCUGCAAACAGAUCUACUUUCUUAAUAAAAAAGGAAGGGGGGGGGGCGAGAAAUCCCCCCCCCAAAUAAUAAUAAUAAAAAAAUGUACACCCUCAUAACAGCGGCAACAACAACAAAAAAAUAAAGCUUGAACCGGAGUAAUGUCUUUUAUUUUAAAAAAACAAAACAAAACACACAAAAAAACUUAGUUCCCCAACUCUUCCCACCCCCUCCCUUGCCGAGUGUGAUUGUUUUGUCUGGAAAAAAAUCCAAAGUAUAACAAGGGGAGAACAGUUAGUGCUGAUUUUCAUUUGCAUAAAUUUUCAUAUAUUUUGGUGAAAAUAAUAGACUAGUGGAGAGCGGGGCUUAGUGGAGUCAGUGCAAAGGAAAAUCUUAACAUGGAUCGUUUCGCUGGAGUUGAGAACAUGAUUUUCCCCCCUGUCACCUUAUUAAAAUCAAAAAUUAAAAAAAAAAUCUCUAAAUCCUCGAAGUAUGAUCGGCCCACUCUGUUCUCCAGCCUUAUUACAUGGGGUUUUUGUCUCUCCAAGUCAUUCCUCAGCAUCGCCUUGAAUGGCAUCUACUGCACGUGAGCAUCCUCCACCGUCUCUAAGAUACUUUUGUUGUUUUUCUUUU